GACGGAGGAUGCAAGUGUUAUCCGGAAUCACUGGGCGUAAAGCGUCUGUAGGUGGUUUAAUAAGUCAACUGUUAAAUCUUGAGGCUCAACCUCAAAAUCGCAGUCGAAACUAUUAGGCUAGAUUAUAGUAGGGGUAAAGGGAAUUUCCAGUGGAGCGGUGAAAUGCGUAGAGAUUGGAAAGAACACCGAUGGCGAAGGCACUUUACUGGACCACAACUGACACUCAGGGACGAAAGCUAGGGGAGCGAAUGGG
rnacentral:rRNA from 1 species